rnacentral:snRNA from 1 species
GAUCUUUCCUGCCAGGGGAGAUGCCACAACCGUAAAGGCGGUCUUCCCACCUUUUGAGUGUGAUAUCUCUGAACGUGCUGACCCCCCGGGAUUCCCCCAAAUUAGGAAACUUGAUGGCAUAACUUGUGGUAGUGGGUGACUACACUCAUGAUUUCUCUUA